UACGGGAGGUAGCAGUGGGGAGUAUUGCACAAUGGGCGCAAGCCUGAUGCAGCCAUGCCGCGUGUAUGAAGAAGGCCUUCGGGUUGUAAAGUACUUUCAGUCGUGAGGAAGGUGUUAAGGUUAAUAACCUUAGCAAUUGACGUUAGCGACAGAAGAAGCACCGGCUAACUCCGUGCCAGCAGCCGCGGUAAUACGGAGGGUGCGAGCGUUAAUCGGAAUUACUGGGCGUAAAGGGCACGCAGGCGGUUAAUUAAGUUGGAUGUGAAAUCCCCGGGCUUAACCUGGGAAUGGCAUUCAAGACUGGUUAGCUAGAGUCUUGUAGAGGGGGUAGAAUUCCAUGUGUAGCGGUGAAAUGCGUAGAGAUGUGGAGGAAUACCGGUGGCGAAGGCGGCCCCUGGACAAAGACUGACGCUCAUGUGCGAAAGCGUGGGGAGCAAACAGGGAUUAGAUACC
rnacentral:rRNA from 1 species